rnacentral:lncRNA from 1 species
UGGGGGGGUACUGGGAUAUACUGGGAUGGACUGGGAUAUACUGGAGGGGUACUGGGAUGGAUGGGGGGCACUGGGGGGGUACUGGGAUAUACUGGGGGCUACUGGGAUGGACUGGGAUUGACUGGGAUGGAACUGGGAUGGGCUGGGAUAUACUGGGAUGGAUUGGGGGGGACUGGGAUAUACUGGGAUAUACUGGGAUGGACUGGAAUGGACUGGGAUGGACUGGGGGGGGCACUGGGAUGGACUGGGGGGGUACUGGGAUAUACUGGGAUGGACUGGGGGGGCACUGGGAUGGAACUGGGAUGGACUGGGAUGGACUGGGGGGAUACUGGGAUAUACUGGGAUGGACUGGGAUGGACUGGGAUGGACUGGGGGGGCACUGGGAUGGACUGGGGGGGUACUGGGAUAUACUGGGAUGGACUGGGAUAUACUGGAGGGGUACUGGGAUGGAUGGGGGGCACUGGGGGGGUACUGGGAUGUACUGGGGGCUACUGGGAUAUACUGGGAUGGAUUGGGGGGGACUGGGAUAUACUGGGAUAUACUGGGAUGGACUGGGAUGAACUGGGCAGGCACUGGGAUGGACUGGGGGGGUUACUGGUCCAUACUGGGAGGGUACUGGGCUAUACUGGGGGGUUGGGGGGUACUGGUUUAUACUGGUCCAUACUGGGAUGGACUGGGGGGGUUACUGGUCCAUACUGGGGAUGCUCUGCUCCAUACUGGGAGUACUGGUCCAUACUGGGAUAUACUGGGGGGGCUACUGGUCCAUACUGGGGAUGCUCUGCUCCAUACUGGGCUAUACUGGUCCAUACUGGGAUAUACUGGGAGGGUACUGGUCCAUUCUGGGGAUGUCCGCUCCAUACUGGGAGUACUGGUCCAUACUGGGAGUCCCGGUCCGGGUCCAUACUGGCCUUACUGGUUCAUACUGGUCCAUACUGGGCAAUACUGGUCCAUACUGGGAUAUACUGGGAGGGUACUGGUCCAUACUGGGAGUCCCGGUCCCUAUGGGGAUGCCCUGCUCCAUACUGGGCAUACUGGUCCAUACUGGGAUAUACUGGGAGGAUACUGGUCCAUACUGGGGAUGCUCUGCUCCAUACUGGGCUAUACUGGUCCAUACUGGGCUAUACCGGUCCAUACUGGGCUAUACCGGUCCAUACUGGGAUAUACCGGUCCAUACUGGGCUAUACAGGUCCAUACUGGGAGUACUGGUCCCAGUCCAUACUGGCCUUACUGGUUCAUACUGAGCUAUACUGGUCCAUACUGGGCUAUACUGGUCCAUACUGGGCUAUACCGAUCCAUACCGGGCUAUACUGGUCCAUACUGGGAUAUACUGGGAGGGUACUGGUCCAUACUGGGAGUCCCGGUCCCGGUCCAUACUGGCCA